GGGUUGUGAGGUUAAGCGACUAAGCGUACACGGUGGAUGCCCUGGCAGUCAGAGGCGAUGAAGGACGUGCUAAUCUGCGAUAAGCGUCGGUAAGGUGAUAUGAACCGUUAUAACCGGCGAUUUCCGAAUGGGGAAACCCAGUGUGUUUCGACACACUAUCAUUAACUGAAUCCAUAGGUUAAUGAGGCGAACCGGGGGAACUGAAACAUCUAAGUACCCCGAGGAAAAGAAAUCAACCGAGAUUCCCCCAGUAGCGGCGAGCGAACGGGGAGGAGCCCAGAGCCUGAAUCAGUGUGUGUGUUAGUGGAAGCGUCUGGAAAGGCGCGCGAUACAGGGUGACAGCCCCGUACACAAAAAUGCACAUGCUGUGAGCUCGAUGAGUAGGGCGGGACACGUGGUAUCCUGUCUGAAUAUGGGGGGACCAUCCUCCAAGGCUAAAUACUCCUGACUGACCGAUAGUGAACCAGUACCGUGAGGGAAAGGCGAAAAGAACCCCGGCGAGGGGAGUGAAAAAGAACCUGAAACCGUGUACGUACAAGCAGUGGGAGCACGCUUCGGCGUGUGACUGCGUACCUUUUGUAUAAUGGGUCAGCGACUUAUAUUCUGUAGCAAGGUUAACCGAAUAGGGGAGCCGAAGGGAAACCGAGUCUUAACUGGGCGUUAAGUUGCAGGGUAUAGACCCGAAACCCGGUGAUCUAGCCAUGGGCAGGUUGAAGGUUGGGUAACACUAACUGGAGGACCGAACCGACUAAUGUUGAAAAAUUAGCGGAUGACUUGUGGCUGGGGGUGAAAGGCCAAUCAAACCGGGAGAUAGCUGGUUCUCCCCGAAAGCUAUUUAGGUAGCGCCUCGUGAACUCAUCUCCGGGGGUAGAGCACUGUUUCGGCAAGGGGGUCAUCCCGACUUACCAACCCGAUGCAAACUGCGAAUACCGGAGAAUGUUAUCACGGGAGACACACGGCGGGUGCUAACGUCCGUCGUGAAGAGGGAAACAACCCAGACCGCCAGCUAAGGUCCCAAAGUCAUGGUUAAGUGGGAAACGAUGUGGGAAGGCCCAGACAGCCAGGAUGUUGGCUUAGAAGCAGCCAUCAUUUAAAGAAAGCGUAAUAGCUCACUGGUCGAGUCGGCCUGCGCGGAAGAUGUAACGGGGCUAAACCAUGCACCGAAGCUGCGGCAGCGACGCUUAUGCGUUGUUGGGUAGGGGAGCGUUCUGUAAGCCUGCGAAGGUGUACUGUGAGGUAUGCUGGAGGUAUCAGAAGUGCGAAUGCUGACAUAAGUAACGAUAAAGCGGGUGAAAAGCCCGCUCGCCGGAAGACCAAGGGUUCCUGUCCAACGUUAAUCGGGGCAGGGUGAGUCGACCCCUAAGGCGAGGCCGAAAGGCGUAGUCGAUGGGAAACAGGUUAAUAUUCCUGUACUUGGUGUUACUGCGAAGGGGGGACGGAGAAGGCUAUGUUGGCCGGGCGACGGUUGUCCCGGUUUAAGCGUGUAGGCUGGUUUUCCAGGCAAAUCCGGAAAAUCAAGGCUGAGGCGUGAUGACGAGGCACUACGGUGCUGAAGCAACAAAUGCCCUGCUUCCAGGAAAAGCCUCUAAGCAUCAGGUAACAUCAAAUCGUACCCCAAACCGACACAGGUGGUCAGGUAGAGAAUACCAAGGCGCUUGAGAGAACUCGGGUGAAGGAACUAGGCAAAAUGGUGCCGUAACUUCGGGAGAAGGCACGCUGAUAUGUAGGUGAAGUCCCUCGCGGAUGGAGCUGAAAUCAGUCGAAGAUACCAGCUGGCUGCAACUGUUUAUUAAAAACACAGCACUGUGCAAACACGAAAGUGGACGUAUACGGUGUGACGCCUGCCCGGUGCCGGAAGGUUAAUUGAUGGGGUCAGCGCAAGCGAAGCUCUUGAUCGAAGCCCCGGUAAACGGCGGCCGUAACUAUAACGGUCCUAAGGUAGCGAAAUUCCUUGUCGGGUAAGUUCCGACCUGCACGAAUGGCGUAAUGAUGGCCAGGCUGUCUCCACCCGAGACUCAGUGAAAUUGAACUCGCUGUGAAGAUGCAGUGUACCCGCGGCAAGACGGAAAGACCCCGUGAACCUUUACUAUAGCUUGACACUGAACAUUGAGCCUUGAUGUGUAGGAUAGGUGGGAGGCUUUGAAGUGUGGACGCCAGUCUGCAUGGAGCCGACCUUGAAAUACCACCCUUUAAUGUUUGAUGUUCUAACGUGGACCCGUGAUCCGGGUUGCGGACAGUGUCUGGUGGGUAGUUUGACUGGGGCGGUCUCCUCCUAAAGAGUAACGGAGGAGCACGAAGGUUGGCUAAUCCUGGUCGGACAUCAGGAGGUUAGUGCAAUGGCAUAAGCCAGCUUGACUGCGAGCGUGACGGCGCGAGCAGGUGCGAAAGCAGGUCAUAGUGAUCCGGUGGUUCUGAAUGGAAGGGCCAUCGCUCAACGGAUAAAAGGUACUCCGGGGAUAACAGGCUGAUACCGCCCAAGAGUUCAUAUCGACGGCGGUGUUUGGCACCUCGAUGUCGGCUCAUCACAUCCUGGGGCUGAAGUAGGUCCCAAGGGUAUGGCUGUUCGCCAUUUAAAGUGGUACGCGAGCUGGGUUUAGAACGUCGUGAGACAGUUCGGUCCCUAUCUGCCGUGGGCGCUGGAGAACUGAGGGGGGCUGCUCCUAGUACGAGAGGACCGGAGUGGACGCAUCACUGGUGUUCGGGUUGUCAUGCCAAUGGCACUGCCCGGUAGCUAAAUGCGGAAGAGAUAAGUGCUGAAAGCAUCUAAGCACGAAACUUGCCCCGAGAUGAGUUCUCCCUGACCCUUUAAGGGUCCUGAAGGAACGUUGAAGACGACGACGUUGAUAGGCCGGGUGUGUAAGCGCAGCGAUGCGUUGAGCUAACCGGUACUAAUGAACCGUGAGGCUUAACCUUACAACGCCGAAGGUGUUU
rnacentral:rRNA from 1 species